GAUGAAGAACGCAGCGAAAUGCGAUAAGUAGUGUGAAUUGCAGAAUUCAGUGAAUCAUCGAAUCUUUGAACGCACAUUGCGCCCUUUGGUAUUCCAAAGGGCAUGCCUGUUCGAGCGUCAUUUGUACCCUCAAGCUUUGCUUGGUGUUGGGCGUCUUGUCUCUAGCUUUGCUGGAGACUCGCCUUAAAGUAAUUGGCAGCCGGCCUACUGGUUUCGGAGCGCAGCACAAGUCGCACUCUCUAUCAGCAAAGGUCUAGCACCCAUUAAGCCUUUUUUUCAACUUUUGAUCUCGGAUCAGGUAGGGAUACCCGCUGAACUUAAGCAUAUCAAUAAGCGGAGGA
rnacentral:misc_RNA from 1 species